UGUGGUGAACUCGUGGAGCUGAUGCAACCAGCAUGACGGCAAACCCUGCCAGGUUGGAGGAGCUAUGCACUCCUACUGCUGGAUCCAUAUCUUGGAUCCAAGUCUUAUCUAACAAGACUAUGAGCCGGAGUCAGGAGGAUCCAUGUGCAGUACUUUAUUCAGGACACAUGGAGAGGUCUUGCGGUACUAUGGAUUUCCUGAGAAACAUUGUGUUGGACUUGGGUCCUCUAUUCACGUUCCAAGUAUGGAGAGCAAUGUGCGAAGGCCUGAGCAUCACCAUCAGCCUAACGUCAGGUCAAAACCUAGAGUCCAACGGCCAAGCGGAACGUCUGAAUCAGGAGGUCAAAAAAAAAUUAGUCAAAUUCAAUUGUUCUUGGAAUCGAGGACAGACGAGGUGAUUAACAUGACAUGUUUGUCAUGACGGAAGAAAGAAGGUGGGGCAGAUCAAAAGAUGGAGUGGGACUUUCAGUGCUUGAUUUUCAGUUCAGCCUCAUCAGGUUAUCUGCUUUUGUCACCUCUUUUGUUGCUCUUUUUGUACAUGGUUUAGUCACAAUUUAAAUUUAAUUAUCAAAGUUUUAAGCUCAGUUUUUUAUCCCAGUCUUAUUUAUUUUCGGAUCCAUCCAUCUAUCCAUUUUUUGACCU